UGUCCUAGUGUGGGAGCUGAGCUGGCAGGACCUGCACAAUCCCUGCCCACAGAGCAUGGACUGGGGCAGCCAUGGGGGCAGUCACUGCGAGCCACUGGUGGAGUACCUGUCACCUGCCCUGCUGCAGGCCCUGGCCCAGGUAGAUGACCUCUGACUGGUGAGCAUGCUGGAGAUGUGUGUGAAUAUCCAUGACAACAGCCUGGGGAUCUUUGGGGUGCACCUACCCAAUCUCAGGCACCUGAAGCUGAAUGGCA